AAAUCUUGAUUGAAUCAUAACAAAAUCCUAAUAUAACCUUUAAUAAAUCCUAAAUCAAUCCUAAAUCAAUCCUAACCAAAUCUUAAAUCAAGCCUUAAUAAAAUCUUAAAUAAACCCUAAUUAAACUCUAAAAAAAGUCUAAAUUCUAACCAAAUCCUAAUCAAAUGCUAAAUCAAUCUUAAUCAAGUUAUAAAAAAAUCCUAAAUCAAUCCUAACCAAAUAAUAAUCAAAUCUCAAUCAAAUCAUAAUCAAAUCCUAAACCAAAUUCUAAGUCUUAAAUAAAGUCUUAAAAAUCCCUAUAG
rnacentral:lncRNA from 1 species